GAUGAACGCUGGCGGCGUGCCUAAUACAUGCAAGUCGAGCGAAUGACGAGGAGCUUGCUCCUCUGAUUUAGCGGCGGACGGGUGAGUAACACGUGGGUAACCUGCCUGUAAGACGGGGAUAACUCCGGGAAACCGGAGCUAAUACCGGAUGAUAACGAGAAGCGCCUGCUUCUUUUUUGAAAGUCGGUUUCGGCUGACGCUUACAGAUGGGCCCGCGGCGCAUUAGCUAGUUGGUGAGGUAACGGCUCACCAAGGCGACGAUGCGUAGCCGACCUGAGAGGGUGAUCGGCCACACUGGGACUGCGACACGGCCCAGACUCCUACGGGAGGCAGCAGUAGGGAAUCUUCGGCAAUGGACGAAAGUCUGACCGGGCAACGCCGCGUGAGCGAUGAAGGCCUUCGGGUCGUAAAGCUCUGUUGUCAGAGAAGAACAAGUACCGGAGUAACUGCCGGUACCUUGACGGUACCUGACCAGAAAGCCACGGCUAACUACGUGCCAGCAGCCGCGGUAAUAC
rnacentral:rRNA from 1 species